UACGGAGGGAGCUAGCGUUGUUCGGAAUUACUGGGCGUAAAGCGCGCGUAGGCGGCCAGACAAGUUGGGGGUGAAAGCCCGGGGCUCAACCCCGGAACUGCCCUCAAAACUGUUUGGCUAGAAUCCUGGAGAGGUGAGUAGAAUUCCUAGUGUAGAGGUGAAAUUCGUAGAUAUUAGGAAGAAUACCAGUGGCGAAGGCGGCUCACUGGACAGGUAUUGACGCUGAGGUGCGAAAGCGUGGGGAGCGAACAGG
rnacentral:rRNA from 1 species